UUUAUUUUCAUUAUGUGAAGUGGUGUCUAUAUAGCCAUACAAAAAUAACAUAAAGCAAAUAUAAUUUAUCAAAGAUCAUUAUAGAACUUUGAUUUUCAGGGGUUAUUAAAAACAGAAAGCUAAAAGACUAAGUCAACAAUUAAAUUUUCGUAACAGAGUGGAAUCCACUACCGGUUCCCUUCUUCUAUCGCAGCACCUCUCCUCUCGGUUUGGUCUGCCUCGCGCAAAGCCACCUUCUCCACCGUGUACACCAGGCCACCACGACUCCUUUUUCUUCUUCUCAUUUUUCUUUUUCUUCUUCUUCUUCUUCUUCUUGCCCCAUCUCUCUCUAUACCCGAUCGUGUCUCUUCUCUCUCCCCUUAUAUUUUCCUUCGCUGCAUCUCUCUCCCUCUCAUAAUGUCUCCUCUCUUUCCUUUUUUGCGGUGCCUCAUCUUUCUCUUUCCUCUCCUCCAGCCGCGAUAGCUUCCUCCUUCUAGUCGCUGAGCGGUUUUCUCCUUCUUUACUUCUCUCUCAUUUUUUUCCUUUCCAGCUGGGUCUUCU
rnacentral:lncRNA from 1 species